rnacentral:tRNA from 3 species
GGCGGUGUAGCUCAGAUGGUUAGAGCAGCGGACUCAUAAGCCGCAGGUCGGGGGUUCGAUUCCCUCCGCCGCUACCA